GGCUGCAGUAUUUUAACUGUACUAAGGUAGCAUAAUAAUUUGUCUUUUAAAUGAGGACUUGUAUAAAAGAAUAUAUAAAAUUUUAUCUUUAUAGUAAACAACAUUUGAAAUUAGAUUUUUAGUAAAAAUACUUAUUUAGAUUUGAGGGACGAGAAGACCCUAAGAGUUUUAGGUUUUAACUUUUAUUGGGGCAAUAUUUUACUAAUAUUAAUAAGAUCCUAUUUAAAGAAUCUGUAAUAAUUACCUUAGGGAUAACAGCAUAAUUUUUUUUGAUAGUUCUUAUUGAUAAAAGAGUUUG
rnacentral:rRNA from 1 species